UACGUAGGGGGCAAGCGUUGUCCGGAAUUACUGGGCGUAAAGCGUGCGCAGGCGGUGAUGUAAGACAGGUGUGAAAUCCCCGGGCUUAACCUGGGAACUGCAUUUGUGACUGCAUCGCUGGAGUGCGGCAGAGGGGGAUGGAAUUCCGCGUGUAGCAGUGAAAUGCGUAGAUAUGCGGAGGAACACCGAUGGCGAAGGCAAUCCCCUGGGCCUGCACUGACGCUCAUGCACGAAAGCGUGGGGAGCAAACAGG
rnacentral:rRNA from 1 species